AGCUCGUAGUUGGAUUUCUGCUGGAAGCAGCCAGUCCGCCCUCAGGGGUGUGCACUUGGUGAAUUCUAGCAUCCUUCUGGAUUUCUCCACACUUCAUUGUGUGGAGUUUUUUCCAGGACUUUUACUUUGAGAAAAUUAGAGUGUUUCAAGCAGGCUUGUCGCCUUGAAUACUGCAGCAUGGAAUAAUAAGAUAGGAUUUCGGCCCUAUUUUGUUGGUUUCUAGGACUGAAGUAAUGAUUAAUAGGGACGGUUGGGGGCAUUCGUAUUUAACUGUCAGAGGUGAAAUUCUUAGAUUUGUUAAAGACGAACUACUGCGAAAGCAUUUGCCAAAGAUGUUUUCAUUAAUCAAGAACGAAAGUUAGGGGCUCGAAGACGAUCAGAUACCGUCGUAGUCUUAACCAUAAACUAUGCCGACUAGAGAUAGGAAAA
rnacentral:rRNA from 1 species